CAGUCGCCGCGGGAACACGUAGGGUGCGAGCGUUAAUCGGAAUUACUGGGCGUAAAGCGUGCGCAGGCGGUUGCGUAAGACAGGUGUGAAAUCCCCGGGCUUAACCUGGGAACUGCGCUUGUGACUGCACAGCUAGAGUAUGGCAGAGGGGGGUGGAAUUCCACGUGUAGCAGUGAAAUGCGUGGAGAUGUGGGGGAACACCGAUGGCGAAGGCAGCCCCCUGGGCCAAUACUGACGCUCAUGCACGAAAGCGUGGGGAGCAAACAGGAUUAGAUACCCGUGUAGUCCCUGUCUCUUAUAC
rnacentral:rRNA from 1 species